CUCCUAAAGAGUAACGGAGGAGCACGAAGGUUGGCUAAUCCUGGUCGGACAUCAGGAGGUUAGUGCAAUGGCAUAAGCCAGCUUGACUGCGAGCGUGACGGCGCGAGCAGGUGCGAAAGCAGGUCAUAGUGAUCCGGUGGUUCUGAAUGGAAGGGCCAUCGCUCAACGGAUAAAAGGUACUCCGGGGAUAACAGGCUGAUACCGCCCAAGAGUUCAUAUCGACGGCGGUGUUUGGCACCUCGAUGUCGGCUCAUCACAUCCUGGGGCUGAAGUAGGUCCCAAGGGUAUGGCUGUUCGCCAUUUAAAGUGGUACGCGAGCUGGGUUUAGAACGUCGUGAGACAGUUCGGUCCCUAUCUGCCGUGGGCGCUGGAGAACUGAGGGGGGCUGCUCCUAGUACGAGAGGACCGGAGUGGACGCAUCACUGGUGUUCGGGUUGUCAUGCCAAUGGCACUGCCCGGUAGCUAAAUGCGGAAGAGAUAAGUGCUGAAAGCAUCUAAGCACGAAACU
rnacentral:rRNA from 1 species